rnacentral:rRNA from 1 species
GAGUUUGAUCCUGGCUCAGGACGAACGCUGGCGGCGUGCCUAACACAUGCAAGUCGAACGGAGAUGUUAAGGAAGUUUUACUGAAUUAAUGUCUUAGUGGCGGACGGGUGAGUAACGCGUGGGUGACCCACCCAUAAGAGGGGGAUAACAGUUGGAAACGACUGCUAAUACCGCAUAAGCUGAGUAAUCAGUAAAGGAGGCCUCUGAAAAUGCUUCCGCUUAUGGAUGGGCCCGCGUCUGAUUAGCUGGUUGGUGGGGUAAAGGCCUACCAAGGCGACGAUCAGUAGCCGGCCUGAGAGGGUGAACGGCCACACUGGGACUGAGACACGGCCCAGACUCCUACGGGAGGCAGCAGUGGGGAAUAUUGCGCAAUGGGGGAAACCCUGACGCAGCGACGCCGCGUGAGCGAAGAAGGCCUUAGGGUCGUAAAGCUCUGUUUUAAGGGACGAAUGUCGCGGGUAAUAAUACGAUCUGCGAAUGACGGUACCUUAAGAGGAAGCCCCGGCUAACUACGUGCCAGCAGCCGCGGUAAGACGUAGGGGGCGAGCGUUGUCCGGAAUUACUGGGCGUAAAGAGCACGUAGGCGGGAUUUUAAGUCAGGUGUGAAAGACCGUGGCUCAACCACGGGGUUGCACUUGAAACUGGGAUUCUUGAGGGCAGGAGAGGAAAGUGGAAUUCCUGGUGUAGCGGUGAAAUGCGUAGAAAUCAGGAGGAACACCGGUGGCGAAGGCGACUUUCUGGACUGACCCUGACGCUGAGGUGCGAAAGCGUGGGUAGCAAACAGGAUUAGAUACCCUGGUAGUCCACGCUGUAAACGAUGGAU